rnacentral:lncRNA from 1 species
ACAGAGAAACUCAGAGUUUAAAGCUCCUCGCGGAUGCUCUAGGACCCCUUACAUUGUGAUGUUAUGUUAGAUUUUAUUUUGAAAUAUAUCUAGUGGUUCCCCAUGUGGAUCCUUGUUAAGAGCAAACUGAAAAGGCAUGAAAUUCCUUUAGCGUGAAGAAAUGCACUUAAUGAGUUCCAGAGCCCAAUGUGAACGGCCUCAGCCCCUGAAACAGUCAUCUGGAUGCCAUCGAUGGUAUUUUAUUAGAUAGGCAUUUAAUUAGAGGAAGCUUUUGGGCCAGAUUCUUUCUUAUAUGUGUGAUUCAUAUUCAGGAAUUUCUUACACGGCCAUCCCCCUCCCCACCCACCCCACCCCCGCUCUUUGGCCCUGCGCUUAAAAUCUGAGUAGUAAGACUUUUUUCUCCUCAAGAACAUCUUUGAAGAUUUAAACCAAGUAAUGAAAAAAAAAAAAAAAAAAGUCCAGGCCUGAAGAACCUAGAUGCAGAGUCAGCCCCUGGCCUGCUGAGUCUUGGGGGGGGGGGGGGAGUUGGGGGGAGUUGACCUCAGAAGUCUCCCUGGUUGUACGUUGCCAAGCUUUUUGUAAAAGGAGGAUUAAAAUUCAGAUAGGAAACAUUUUUAACAUUGGUGAAUUGAUGGUAAAUGUGCUUAGAGGUUCGUUUUGUCCCCUUUUUCCCUUUUUAUCUAGAGUCCCUGACCACAGGAGUUCAGUCUGCUUUCUCCCCGUACAGUGCUUUCUGCCCUCUCUGAGCAGCGCUGUGCUUGCCACAGGCGCAGCCCUUAUUGAAUGAGCCUCAGAGGUACAGGUGGACCCAGCCUGCAGUUAGUCAGUCAGGCUUGGUUUGACUCUGUGUGCCUCUGUCUUGAUCGCUUGGCUUUGCCUGAGCCCUUUACGUGGGUUUAGCUAGAAUUUCCAUAGCCACUGUGGUUAUAACUCCCAUGGCAAGCUGUUUCCUGCUCCUCUCUCCCAUCCGAACCCAUUGCUCCUCCGUGUUCCUCCAAGGUUUCCCUCCAUCACAUUGCACGGCUCAGGUCUGUUCUGCUGUCGCUGAAUUCUGCAAUGAAGUGCAAGAGUUUCUUUAAACGCAAGGAACAGACUGUAGCUUCAUGCUGGCCAAACAAACACACAGGAGGGAAAGCCUGUGUUGGGAACAAGAUUUUAAAAGGGGGUGGGGCCAAAGAACUGAUUGGCACUGCUUUUUCCUUUGGUUUAAUCCACCCCUUUCCCAUGUGAUGAGCUGAAACUUAAAACAGGAAAUGAACUCACUGGAGGCACCAGGUACUGGGUGUUAACACAAAGGCCUGGCAUUCAGGCCAAAAUUAGCAUGCCUCUUAAUAUCAUUUUUUUUUUUUUUUUUUUUUUUUUUACGAAAGAGGUACUAAUGAAAAGC